GAUGAACGCUGGCGGCGUGCCUAAUACAUGCAAGUCGAGCUAACGGACGAGAAGCUUGCUUUUCUGAUGUUAGCGGCGGACGGGUGAGUAACACGUGGAUAACCUACCUAUAAGACUGGGAUAACUUCGGGAAACCGGAGCUAAUACCGGAUAAUAUUUUGAACCGCAUGGUUCAAAAGUGAAAGACGGUCUUGCUGUCACUUAUAGAUGGAUCCGCGCUGCAUUAGCUAGUUGGUAAGGUAACGGCUUACCAAGGCAACGAUGCAUAGCCGACCUGAGAGGGUGAUCGGCCACACUGGAACUGAGACACGGUCCAGACUCCUACGGGAGGCAGCAGUAGGGAAUCUUCCGCAAUGGGCGAAAGCCUGGCGGAGCAACGCCGCGUGAGUGAUGAAGGUCUUCGGAUCGUAAAACUCUGCUAUUAGGGAAGAACAUAUGUGUAAGUAACUGUGCACAUCUUGACGGUACCUAAUCAGAAAGCCACGGCUAACUACGUG
rnacentral:rRNA from 1 species